CUGACACAGGGAGGUAGUGACAAGAAAUAACAAUACAGGGCUAAUGUCUUGUAAUUGGAAUGAUGGUGUACCCAAACCCUCACCAGAGUAGCAAUUGGAGGGCAAGUCUGGUGCCAGCAGCCGCGGUAAUUCCAGCUCCAAUAGCGUAUAUUAAACUUGUUGCAGUUAAAAAGCUCGUAGUUGAAUUUUAGCGUGUUCGAGUUUGCCAUUCGUUUGGCUUUUUCGAGUUCGCUUUUGGGUUUUCCCUUUUUACUUUGAGAAAAUUAGAGUGUUUCAAGCAGACUUUUGUCUUGAAUACUUCAGCAUGGAAUAAUAGAGUAGGACUUUGGUUCUAUUUUGUUGGUUAUUGAACCUUAGUAAUGGUUAAUAGGAACGGUUGGGGGCA
rnacentral:rRNA from 1 species